UCGACUUGGAGGUUGUUCCCUUGAGGAGUGGCUUCCGGAGCUAACGCGUUAAGUCGACCGCCUGGGGAGUACGGCCGCAAGGUUAAAACUCAAAUGAAUUGACGGGGGCCCGCACAAGCGGUGGAGCAUGUGGUUUAAUUCGAUGCAACGCGAAGAACCUUACCUACUCUUGACAUCCAGCGAACUUUCCAGAGAUGCAUUGGUGCCUUCGGGAACGCUGAGACAGGUGCUGCAUGGCUGUCGUCAGCUCGUGUUGUGAAAUGUUGGGUUAAGUCCCGCAACGAGCGCAACCCUUAUCCUUUGUUGCCAGCGAUUCGGUCGGGAACUCAAAGGAGACUGCCGGUGAUAAACCGGAGGAAGGUGGGGAUGACGUCAAGUCAUCAUGGCCCUUACGAGUAGGGCUACACACGUGCUACAAUGGCGCAUACAAAGAGAAGCGACCUCGCGAGAGCAAGCGGACCUCACAAAGUGCGUCGUAGUCCGGAUCGGAGUCUGCAACUCGACUCCGUGAAGUCGGAAUCGCUAGUAAUCGUGGAUCAGAAUGCCACGGUGAAUACGUUCCCGGGCCUUGUACUCCCCGCCCGUCA
rnacentral:rRNA from 1 species